rnacentral:rRNA from 4 species
CAUACCUAUUCGAAGGGAUAGGGUCGGUUUGGCCGGAUUUCACACAGGUGUUGCAUGGCUGUCGUCAGCUCGCGUCGUGAGAUGUUGGGUUAAGUCCCGCAACGAGCGCAACCCUCAUCCUUAGUUACCAUCAGGUUAUGCUGGGGACUUUAAGGAAACUGCCAGUGAUAAACUGGAGGAAGGUGGGGAUGAUGUCAAGUCAUCAUGGCCCUUAUGGAGUGGGCUACACACGUGCUACAAUGGUGAUUACAAUGGGCUGCAAGGUCGCAAGGCUGAGCUAAUCCUAAAAAAUCAUCUCAGUUCGGAUUGUUCUCUGCAACCCGAGAGCAUGAAGUUGGAAUUGCUAGUAAUCGUGGAUCAGCAUGCCACGGUGAAUACGUUCUCGGGUCUUGUACACACUGCCCGUCACGCCAUGGGAAUUGGUUUCACUCGAAGCU